GCCAGGCAUGGUGACGCAUGCCUGUAAUCCCAGCUACUUGGGAGGCUGAGGCAUGAGAAUUGCUUGAACCCAGGAGGCAGAGGUUGCAGUGAGCAGAGAUUGCACCACUGCACUCCAGCCUGGGUGACAGAGUGAGACUCUGUCUCAU
rnacentral:SRP_RNA from 1 species